rnacentral:lncRNA from 1 species
UAGAUCGAAGACUCUCCAACGAAGCAGCGUUUGGGAACUCCCUCCUUGCCAAUAAAAUGGUAUAAAUUUGGUGCUAAAAAUAAAAAUGCGUGAAAAUUUCUAUCCCUCUCAUUUGGAAAAUACUAUAUGUAUGCUUCUUAAAGAGGUAUAUAUCUUACAUCGGUGAUCAGAGAAUCGAUUCAAUCCCUUUGAAAUUUUAGUAAUAGAAAAAAACCACAAAAUGGCUAUGGGUGUAAGGUUUUUUAGUUUACGCUAGGCUGCAAGUGUAACAGUCCAAUAAUCUCACAUUGGAUAAAAAACUGAAUCUGAUUAGAAUAUAUGAGGCCUACACACUAGUAAUAAUAACUGAGUUUAAACAUUAUGGGCCGAUUGUUGUGCCCAAUGAGUUAUUAUUGCUAGCGGGUCGGAUCGUUUGGGAUUGUACAACAUUGCAGCCUAAGUGUCAUAUGGGACAAAGUACUACACCAAUGGAUUUGGUGAGAGCUACCUCUAGAAUCUCACAUCGUCCGGUAAUUCUAGUCUGCAUCUAUUUAGUCCCACAUCGGAUCGUUGGGAGAGUUUGUAGCGCCCCAAUAGUCCCACAUCAUGUAUGUGGGUCGUUGGGAGAGUUUGUAACGCCCCAAUAAUCCCACAUCAUGUGGAGAGUUUGUAGCGCCCCAAUAGUUCCACAUCGGGUAGAAAACUAAAUCUCAUUAGAAUAUAUGAGACCUACAUAUUAGUAAUAAUAACUGGAAUUAAAUAUUUUGGGCCGAUUGUUUGAGCGCAACAAGUUAUUAUUGCUAGCGGAUUGGGUCAUUAUAGCAAGCAUAGUAUUUGCA